AUGGCAAAAGUUGCCGGUCUAAUUGAAGCCAACGGAGAACUCAAGGUCUUCAUAGACCAGAACCUUAGUCCGGGAAAAGGCGUUAGUGUCCCUUGUGACAGUUCACCCCUCCAUUGUCAACCCGCUCGGGAAGCAGCUCUUGUCGAAAAUCUUUGUACAGUUCAAUGACAACAUUGCCCAGCAAGUGGUAACCGGUACACCUUAGAAACCGGCAGCGUCAAAUACCCUCGUGGUAGUAGGCCACACACCGCCAGCAUUCACUUUACCUCUCAGAACCAGCCGUGGUUGGUCUGCCGGGAAGCGCAAGAGGAAAGGAGAAAAGAAUGGCAAGCAAGGCCUGUGGCAUUUCUCCAUGAAGGUCUGAGACAAGGUGCAGUGGAAAGGGACCACUUGCUACCACGAAGUGGCGGAAGAGCUGGUCGCAGAGUUCAGUGCUGCCGGCAACCAGAUCUUACCAAGUGAGUCAGCUUAUGACGAGAAGAACAUCGACGGCGCGUCUACAAUGCCUUAAACGUGCUGAUGGCCAUGAACAUCAUCUCCAAGGAGAAAAAGGAGAUCAAGUGGGUUGGUCUGCCCACCAACUCGACUCAGGAAUGUCAGAACUUAGAGGUGGAAAGACGGAGGAGACUUGACAGAAUAAAACAGAAAAUCUCAAUUUCAGGUUUUUUUUAUUCGACAGCAAAUUGCCUUCAUGAAUCUGGUGAAGAGAGAAACCAGCAAGAGGAGCAGCAGGCCAGCUGGCCAAGGACGCUCAGCUCGCUCAUCCACCUGCCCUUCAUCAUCGUUAACCCAGCAAGAAGACCGUCAUCGACUGCAACAUCUCCAACGACAAAUUCGAGUAUCUGUUUACAUUUGACAACACAUCUGAAAUAUACGAUGACAUAGAAGUGCUGAAGCGGAUGAGCACGGCUUGUGGGCUGGAGUCUGGAAGCUGCUCUGCCGAAGACCUUAAAAUGGCCAGAAGUCUGGUCCCAGAGGCCCUGGAGCUGUACCUGACAGAAAUAGCUCAGGGAACUAACUGUUGGAGGCGUGUUCAUCACGACGGCACGUUCCACGUCUAACGGCACGAAACUCUCUGCCACUGACCUGACCAACGGUGCGGAUGGGAUGCUGGCCACAAGCUCCAACCUCAGUACAGUGGCUCCAGGGUGGAGACCCCAGUGUCCUGCGUCCGGGAGGAUGACGAGGACGACGACUUCAACGAGAACAAUGAGGACGACUGACGUCCUCUCCACUUCACAUUCAGCUUCAAGAAAACGUUUAGGGAAAAGAAACUAUUUUUUAAUGUGGGUUUUCUGUUUCCGUUUGUCCUACUCCUAAGAAGAUAAUGACUUAAUUUUUGCCCCUUAACAGUUUUUGCUGAGUUUGCUGAAGAAAUUGUAUUUCAUCCUCAUACAUGAAAAUAAAACGCCCUCCUGUUGUGGAUGGUGAGCACCGAAUGCCGUUUAUUUGCCGUGAGUCUGAACAGCACCCAUGCUGGCAGAGAGUGAGACUGCAGAGUUGUCCAUUUGUUCAGUGGUACGGUGUCCAAGAGCCCCAAGCAAACAGCAGAAUUCGACUUUCUAAACAAUAAACACCAUCAACCUUACUGACUUUAUUCUCCCUUAAAUUAUAUUGACUGUUGUGAUUCCAUCAAGUUUAUACACUCUUUUCUCUCCCUAUUUUGCAGCAACAAAUUGCAAAGUGCUUUUGUUUGUUUUUGUUUGGUUUGGUUAAAGCUUAUUGCCACACUGGUGCGGCUAUGGAGACUGGCAGGCUUGGAAGACUUGGAAUGGUUUAUUGCUUAUGGUAAAAUUUGCCUGAUUUCUUACAGGCAGCAUUUGAAACCCUUUUAUUAUGUAGUUGUUUACAUACUUACAAGUCUAUCAUUUAAAGACACGUACUGAAACAAAUGUUGUGUUUGUUUCAUAAACAUCUUCUGUAAUCUAUUAUAAAAUUGAAAUUAAAUAUAGGGAAUGU